AUAAGAUGUUCCAUAAUUUAGGAUCCGUGACUGAGCAACAAGAUAGGAGAAAAAGAGUCACAUCUUGGUAAUAUCUGUGGAAAAUUUUUAAUUUUAGGGAUGCUUGUCAGAAGCACGGGUAGUGGAUAAUAUAACAAGACUUGAUCCCAUUGCCACAUGCUACUCACAUCAGGAGAUCCUAGUCAGCUGUAAAGAUGAUUUAUUGCUUGCGUGCCUGUACAGUGUCCCUGAUAAUACUUUGGCUUGGGGUUGCGCACCAGACAUAUGCUUAAAUGGUAAUGUGUGCCCUGAGUGGAACAAAGCACCUAAUGGGUCAUACGUGGUUCAGGGAGGAUAUAGAUAUUGUUCAACAUGUCCCUCAUUUUAUCCACUUUCCCAAUUAUUGAAAGAACGAAUUCCAGAAUGUUACAACAGUACACAGAAUUAUCCCACAGAGACCACAGUGACACCAGCAACAAAGAACAGACAAGAACUGUCAGCUGGAGGCAUUGUUGGAAUAUCCUUGAGUGUGGUGGUAGUAAUUGGAGCUUUUGUAGUUGGGAUCUUCAUUUGGAGAGAGAGACAGAUGCACAUGCAUAGCCUCCCACCUACACAAUAUAUGGAAGGGGAAGGAACUGGAAUGAGGUCAGUCAUAUAAUGUACCAAAUGGUUCUACAGUAAAUGGAGAUAUUCCUAUGAUUAGGAUAGACCAACCUUAAAUUAACCUUAGACUCGGCGAAUAGUGUACUCCUUGGGUUGUAAAUUCAUUGUUUUGACCUCAAAAGCUAUAAAAAUGGUACAAUUGUACAUGUAUAAGGUAUACUAGGAUUCAUGCGUGAACAUACCCCGGUAAUAUUUGCAUUGUAUUUUUCACUUUUUAUUGCAUGUGUAAAUAUAAAAAUUUUAUGUUUUGAUUUUUUUUCAUGCAUGAUGGUUAUUUUAUUCA